AUGAAGAACGCAGCGAAAUGCGAUAAGUAAUGUGAAUUGCAGAAUUCAGUGAAUCAUCGAAUCUUUGAACGCACAUUGCGCCCUCUGGUAUUCCGGAGGGCAUGCCUGUUCGAGCGUCAUUUCAACCCUCAAGCAUUGCUUGGUGUUGGGGCACUGCCUGUAAAAGGGCAGGCCCUGAAAUCUAGUGGCGAGCUCGCCAGGACCCCGAGCGCAGUAGUUAAACCCUCGCUCUGGAAGGCCCUGCGGUGCCCUGCCGUUAAACCCCCAACUUCUGAAAAUUUGACCUCGGAUCAGGUAGGAAUACCCGCAUGAACUUAAGCAUAUCAAUAAGCGGAGGAAAAGAAACCAACAGGGAUUGCCCUAGUAACGGCGAGUGAACCGACAACAGCUCAAAUUUGAAAUCAUCCUCGGCCCGAGUUGUAAUUUGCAUAGGAUGCUUCUGGCCUGGUGCCUUCCGAGUUCCCUGGAACGGAUACGCCACAGAGGGUGAGAGCCACCGUAUGGUCUGGCACACCUAAGUACCUGUGUGAAGC
rnacentral:rRNA from 1 species